UACGUAGGGUGCGAGCGUUGUCCGGAAUUACUGGGCGUAAAGAGCUCGUAGGCGGUCUGUUGCGUCGGCUGUGAAAACCCGGGGCUCAACCCCGGGCCUGCAGCCGAUACGGGCAGACUAGAGUUCGGCAGGGGAGACUGGAAUUCCUGGUGUAGAGGUGAAAUGCGCAGAUAUCAGGAGGAACACCGGUGGCGAAGGCGGGUCUCUGGGCCGAUACUGACGCUGAGGAGCGAAAGCGUGGGGAGCGAACAGG
rnacentral:rRNA from 1 species